rnacentral:rRNA from 1 species
UACGAAGGGGGCUAGCGUUGCUCGGAAUCACUGGGCGUAAAGGGUGCGUAGGCGGGUCUUUAAGUCAGGGGUGAAAUCCUGGAGCUCAACUCCAGAACUGCCUUUGAUACUGAGGAUCUUGAGUUCGGGAGAGGUGAGUGGAACUGCGAGUGUAGAGGUGAAAUUCGUAGAUAUCGGGAGGAACACCGGUGGCGAAGGCGGCGACCUGGGUAGAUACUGACGCUGAGGUGCGAAAGCGUGGGGAGCAAACAGG